rnacentral:rRNA from 1 species
AGCAAUCUGCCUUGGAGUGGGGAAUAACGGUUGGAAACAGCCGCUAAUACCGCAUGAUGCGUCUGGGAGGCAUCUCUCUGGACGCCAAAGAUUUAUCGCUCUGAGAUGAGCUCGCGUCUGAUUAGCUUGUUGGCGGGGUAAAGGCCCACCAAGGCGACGAUCAGUAGCCGGACUGAGAGGUUGGCCGGCCACAUUGGGACUGAGACACGGCCCAGACUCCUACGGAAGGCAGCAG